rnacentral:misc_RNA from 1 species
UAAUCUUUAACUAUGAAUAAAGUAGUCUAAUUAAAGAUAAUUUUAAUUUAAAUGGUUUUACACUUUAUAAUUAUAAGAGAAUAAGAAAUGUUAUGUGGUCUAAAUAUAUUUAUUUUAAAUUAUAUACAAAUAUAAUCGUAAUUGUGUGUGUGUACACUUAGUUCUUCAAUUUGGUAGAGGUUCUGUGCUGUAUGUUUCUUGAUUUGGUUAUUGGUAUAGAAUCAGAAUCAUACAAAAAUAGUAAUAUAAGUUUGGUUUGGUUCAAUUCCUACAUUGUCAUUUUUUCCAGUUUUGAUUCUUUCCAUUUUGGUUUAGGAGUGUUGGGAUUAUAUAUCCCACAUCGGGAAAAUAGAAAAAAUUAAAGGGUGAAUAUAAAUGGAUGGGUUAUAAUAUUAACUUGGCUAGCCAUUUUGAUUUGUAAAGCAACUCAAUCACUUAUA